rnacentral:rRNA from 1 species
AUUGAACGCUGGCGGCAGGCCUAACACAUGCAAGUCGAGCGGAAACGAUGGGAGCUUGCUCCCAGGCGUCGAGCGGCGGACGGGUGAGUAAUGCAUGGGAAUCUGCCCGGUAGUGGGGGAUAACCUGGGGAAACUCAGGCUAAUACCGCAUACGUCCUACGGGAGAAAGCAGGGGAUCUUCGGACCUUGCGCUAUCGGAUGAGCCCAUGUCGGAUUAGCUUGUUGGUGGGGUAAUGGCUCACCAAGGCGACGAUCCGUAGCUGGUCUGAGAGGAUGAUCAGCCACAUCGGGACUGAGACACGGCCCGAACUCCUACGGGAGGCAGCAGUGGGGAAUAUUGGACAAUGGGCGAAAGCCUGAUCCAGCCAUGCCGCGUGUGUGAAGAAGGCCCUCGGGUUGUAAAGCACUUUCAGUGGGGAAGAACGCCUCGGGAUUAAUACCCCCGAGGAGAGACAUCACCCACAGAAGAAGCACCGGCUAACUCCGUGCCAGCAGCCGCGGUAAUACGGAGGGUGCGAGCGUUAAUCGGAAUUACUGGGCGUAAAGCGCGC